rnacentral:rRNA from 1 species
CACGUAGGGCGCAAGCGUUGUCCGGAUUUAUUGGGCGUAAAGAGCGUGUAGGCGGCUAGAUAGGUCCGUUGUGAAAACUCGAGGCUCAACCUCGAGACGUCGAUGGAAACCAUCUGGCUAGAGUCCGGAAGAGGAGAGUGGAAUUCCUGGUGUAGCGGUGAAAUGCGCAGAUAUCAGGAAGAACACCCGUGGCGAAGGCGGCUCUCUGGUACGUGACUGACGCUGAGACGCGAAAGCGUGGGGAGCAAACAGG